CAAAAAGUCUGUCCCCGCGCCCCUCCCCCCGCCCUAAGAGAGCUUCAUAUGGCAUUUAUUUGCCAGAUUAAAUCUGAAAGGUAGCCAAUCAGAUGGUAGCUUUAUUACUUGGCAAUCUCUUCAUGAUUUAUUAGAUUAUGCCACAGAAUUAAGAUACUUAAAGGUAAUUGUGUUAUUUACUAUAGAAGUGAUUCAUUUGGAAUUUUAAAGUGUCAAACAUUAAAAACCCAGUGCCCAAGCACUGUUCUCCAAUGAAAGGUAACAGACAGACUUGGUUGUAUGAAUGGGACAGGGAUUACAGAAGAUGAAUCCAGGGUGUUUUCAGUGCCAGAAGGCAAGAAAAUGCUAAUGACACACAAAACCCCUUGUCCCCCCACCAUACCCUACACAAUGAUGAAAUAUGUCAAAGGGACAUAGGCGCUAACUGAAAAAACUUACUGUGGUCAAAGCUAGAACCAUAUGAGCAACUAAAAAACAGUAUUCAGGGCUGGGGAUGUGGCUCAAGCGGUAGUGCGCUCGCCUGGCAUGCGUGCGGCCCGGGUUCGAUCCUCAGCACCACAUACAAAGAUGUUGUGUCCGCUGAAAACUAAAAAAAUAAAAUUAAAAUUCUCUCUCUCUCACUCUCCUCUCUCUCACUCUCCUCUCUCUCACUCUCUCUUUAAAAAAAAAAAAAUUAAAAAAAAACAGUAUUCAAUUAUAACCCCAAAAUAUAAAAUAAAUAUAAAUAAAAUAUACAGUAUACAUUUAUAGUAUAAAAUAAAGACUAACAUAAAUAGAAACACAUAAAUAUGUAAUACAUAUAAAAUAAUUAUGUAAGACAAAUGUCCACAAAUCCAUAUAAUAUAAAUGAAUGAUCAAGUGAAUUAACAAGUGGGGAAGAAUAGAUAAAUUUUUCAUGUAGAAUAAUUCCAAAUGAUUUCUGCAAAUAAUCCCCCUCAAGGAGGGGAACAUAACUGCUAUUCCCUUAAGUGUGAAUGGUGCUUAGGGACUUCCUUCCAAAGAGUAUGGUAUGGAGAAGGUGGAAAGAGACAGCUUUUUGGCACUGUUCUGGGCAGUGAUGUUUUGAAUAUAAUCCCAAAAGCACAAGUAACAAAAGCAAAAAUAGAUAAAUGAGAUUGCAUCAAACUAAAAAGCUUGUCCACAACAAAAGACACAAUCAACAGAGUGAGGAGCAUCCUAUGGAAUGGGAGAAAAUAUUUGCAAACCACACAUCUGGUAAGGGAUUAAUAUCUAUGCAUAUAAGGAACUCAACACAAUUUCAAGAAAACAACAACAAAAUACUCAAAAAAAAAAAAAAAAAAAAAAANGUUCCCCCAGAAAUUAGACAUAGAAAUAAUGUCAUCAGUAUACCUCCUGAGUGUGAGUUAUGCACAGGAAAACAGAUAUUGCAUGGUCUCAUUUGUAUGUGAAAUCUAAAUUAACUAAUAGAAACAGUGAAAUGGCAAUUCCAGGGACAAGGGGAAUUGGGGAGGUGUUGGCUUAAAAGUACAAGUUUCAGUGAGACUGAAUGAGUUUGGGGGAUCUAUUGCCUAGCAUACUGACUAUAAUUAAUUAUAAUAUAUAUUUGAAAAUUGCUAAGAGAAAAAAUUCUUUUUUGUUGUUUUUGUUUUUGUUUUGUACCAGGGAUUGAACUCAGGGCCGCUCAACCACUGAGCCCCAUCCCCAGCCCUAUUUUGUAUUUUAUUUAGAGACAGGGUCCCACUGAGUUGCUUAGUGCCUCACUAUUGCUGAGGCUGGCUUUGAACUCACAACCCUUCUGCCUCAGCUUCCUGAGCUGCUGGGAUUACAGGUAUGUGCCACUGCACCCAACAUCCUCAGCCCUUUUUUUUUUUUUUUGUAUUUUAUUUAGAGACAGGGUCUUGCUGAGUUGCUGAGGUUGGCUUUUGAACUU
rnacentral:lncRNA from 1 species